GACAGAGGGUGCAAACGUUGUUCGGAAUUACUGGGCGUAAAGCGUGUGUAGGCGGUCCACUAAGUCGGGUGUGAAAGCCCUGGGCUCAACCCAGGAAGUGCACUCGAAACUGGCGGGCUAGAGUAUCGGAGAGGUUGGUGGAAUUCUCGGUGUAGAGGUGAAAUUCGUAGAUAUCGAGAGGAACACCGGUGGCGAAGGCGGCCAACUGGACGAAUACUGACGCUGAGACACGAACGCGUGGGGAGCAAACAGG
rnacentral:rRNA from 1 species